rnacentral:lncRNA from 1 species
AUCAACUUAGACUUUGGGGGCUUCUUUCAGAGACAAGUGACUCUCAAACCAAACCUGUCUUAUUCAGCUUCUACUGAUUUAUGCCAUAAUCAUUUGGUUUCUGACUUACAUAGCCAGUUACUCCAAGCAAGCUGAGAUGACUUUAAUUUCCUUCAUUCAUUGAUCUGUUCAAAUAGUAUUAAUUGAGCAUCUAAAUGUUCCAAUAACUAUUCUAAGUACUAGACUCAUUUAAACAAGAAAGUCUUCUUGAUCUCAUGAAGCUCAACAUUCCUUGGGGUUAGAGGGGCCAGAGAUGCAAAAGAGACAGAAAACCAAGUAAACAUAUACAUGAACAAGAUAAUGUCUGAUACAGUAUCAUUUAUAAAAAUCUAAAGUUGUCUUUUUAUUUUUUUAAGGUAUCUUUUUAAAUUCUUCAGCAUGGCACCUAUAACUUUAAGUAGAAAGAACUAUGUGGAUAGCUGAAUUCCCUAAAAUUGGAAGAAUGAAGAGGAGGUGUGAAAGGAGAGAAAGAGCCCUUUCUUGUGGUAUCUGGCCCUUCUGUGUACCAGGUGAAAAGAGGGUUGACAAUGUGGUAAAACGAAAUUGCCAUCUUUUGUGGUCAGCCAGUGCACUGAGCGUUCGGCCCCUUGAGGUAUUUUUGUGCAGCUUUUCCGAGAAGCAUUGCCUUGUCUCCACUGAACUGAUAACGAUGAAACUUCAAUCCCUAUUGCCUUCAAUCAUUUUCUUAUUGUGCCAGCUCAAUGACUUUUCUUCAAUUCCAGUUUCCUGGCACCAGAUCUGGCAGAGGCUGAAGAAGAAAAUGCCUUUGGUGUGGGUUCCACUGAACUUCGCUUUUAAUUCCCUGUUAAUGUACAAUCUGAAGUCUUAUUCAGAGAAAAAUUGUGUUCAUGUUUGUGGCAAAAAGGAAUGCAGAAAAGUGACAGAUGUAAGAUGAGAGAAGAGGCAGCCUUUAAUCAUUUUGUUGUCAAAGCAGCUUUGGAUUGCCCUUUGAAGAAAGUGUUUUCCUCGCUGCUUCUGCAAAACUAGAGACUCAUUCUCUUGCCCUUUGCAAAUUCCUUACCCAGGCGGUUACACUCCACACUGGAUGCAAAACUUCUAAACCCUAGAUUUAAACCCUAUGGAACACUCCGCUUUAUACAUUUACAGUGCAGAAGAAUUGGAUCUCUUUGCCCUGGUGACUCAGUUUACAUAUAAUCCUCAUAGAAAGAAAGGCGACUUUUGGUAAAACCCAGUGACCAAGGAACUUGUUUUCAUUUGCGUUUGGGCCAGCCAUAUUUCACAAGAGAGGCUAAGUGUUAAAGCAUAUGAUGUUUACAAAGUAAAAGCCUAUUUUCCCUUAAUCCCUGCAUGACCAUAAUUAGGCAGGAGAGUUAAUUUUAUGUAAAUCAUGCAUUACUGUAAUUGGGCGCAAGUGAACAUUCAUGUACAUCCUGUUUAAAAGAGAAAUAUAAUGUUAUUAUGUGGAUGCUGGUGCAGUGAAGUCUCAACCCUCUAGGGGGACGUCUGCGACGUCACCGGCUGUUUACAAGACUUCGGUCUGUGAGCUUAAUUACAGGUUGCCCAGAUCGUGCUGUCCUGUGAGGAGCUGAGCCACAUGCCUUCAGAAAGGCUGAGAGGUGGAACACUGGGGCUUCCCUUCCUGUUUUUUUCCCCUAACCUCUGCUUAUGGAGAGGUCAUUUUUCUCUUUCUAUUCAUCUUUUCAAACCUAAACAAUGCUUUCCAAUGGUUUGCUCCGCUUGGCAGUUCUGACCCAUAUUUCCCCAGGCAGACCACAGAUGGAUUUGUCUUCAGUAAGCAGGGGCUGGGCUGCUUCCUUUUUUAGCCUGCCUUUUCUAAGGCUGCUCAGGGCUGCUUUAAGACCCCAGGAUUUUGUUUUGCAAGUGUAACCGGAUCAGAUAGCAUCCAGAAGCCUGCCUGUGUGAUGGCCACAGUG